AUUGAACGCUGGCGGCAGGCCUAACACAUGCAAGUCGAGCGGCAGCGGGAAAGUAGCUUGCUACUUUUGCCGGCGAGCGGCGGACGGGUGAGUAAUGCCUGGGAAAUUGCCCAGUCGAGGGGGAUAACAGUAGGAAACGACUGCUAAUACCGCAUACGCCCUACGGGGGAAAGCAGGGGACCUUCGGGCCUUGCGCGAUUGGAUAUGCCCAGGUGGGAUUAGCUAGUUGGUGAGGUAAUGGCUCACCAAGGCGACGAUCCCUAGCUGGUCUGGGAGGAUGAUCAGCCACACUGGAACUGAGACACGGUCCAGACUCCUACGGGAGGCAGCAGUGGGGAAUAUUGCACAAUGGGGGAAACCCUGAUGCAGCCAUGCCGCGUGUGUGAAGAAGGCCUUCGGGUUGUAAAGCACUUUCAGCGAGGAGGAAAGGUUGAUGCCUAAUACGUAUCAACUGUGACGUUACUCGCAGAAGAAGCACCGGCUAACUCCGUGCCAGCAGCCGCCGUAAAAC
rnacentral:rRNA from 1 species